rnacentral:pre_miRNA from 1 species
UUUUAUAGAUGAGCAAACAAGGUAGUUUCUUGAGAUGAAAUCUACUUUUGGUGAAGAUGCUAUGAA